rnacentral:tRNA from 1 species
GUCAGUGUGGCGCAAUGGUUUGAGUGUUGGACUACGACUCUGGAGACCAGGGUUUGAUUCGCAGUUUGGCCA